AUGAACGCUAGCUACAGGCUUAACACAUGCAAGUCGAGGGGCAGCAUGGUCUUAGCUUGCUAAGGCUGAUGGCGACCGGCGCACGGGUGAGUAACACGUAUCCAACCUGCCGUCUACUCUUGGCCAGCCUUCUGAAAGGAAGAUUAAUCCAGGAUGGCAUCAUGAGUUCACAUGUCCGCAUGAUUAAAGGUAUUUUCCGGUAGACGAUGGGGAUGCGUUCCAUUAGAUAGUAGGCGGGGUAACGGCCCACCUAGUCAACGAUGGAUAGGGGUUCUGAGAGGAAGGUCCCCCACAUUGGAACUGAGACACGGUCCAAACUCCUACGGGAGGCAGCAGUGAGGAAUAUUGGUCAAUGGGCGAUGGCCUGAACCAGCCAAGUAGCGUGAAGGAUGACUGCCCUAUGGGUUGUAAACUUCUUUUAUAAAGGAAUAAAGUCGGGUAUGCAUACCCGUUUGCAUGUACUUUAUGAAUAAGGAUCGGCUAACUCCGUGCCAGCAGCCGCGGUAAUACGGAGGAUCCGAGCGUUAUCCGGAUUUAUUGGGUUUAAAGGGAGCGUAGAUGGAUGUUUAAGUCAGUUGUGAAAGUUUGCGGCUCAACCGUAAAAUUGCAGUUGAUACUGGAUGUCUUGAGUGCAGUUGAGGCAGGCGGAAUUCGUGGUGUAGCGGUGAAAUGCUUAGAUAUCACGAAGAACUCCGAUUGCGAAGGCAGCCUGCUAAGCUGCAACUGACAUUGAGGCUCGAAAGUGUGGGUAUCAAACAGGAUUAGAUACCCUGGUAGUCCACACGGUAAACGAUGAAUACUCGCUGUUUGCGAUAUACGGCAAGCGGCCAAGCGAAAGCGUUAAGUAUUCCACCUGGGGAGUACGCCGGCAACGGUGAAACUCAAAGGAAUUGACGGGGGCCCGCACAAGCAGUGGAGUAUGUGGUUUAAUUCGACGCAACGCGAAGAACCUUACCAGGGCUUGACAUCCAACUAACGAAGUAGAGAUACAUUAGGUGCCCUACGGGGAAAGUUGAGACAGGUGGUGCAUGGUUGUCGUCAGCUCGUGUCGUGAGAUGUUGGGUUAAGUCCCGCAACGAGCGCAACCCUUGUCUUCUGUUACCAGCAUUAAGUUGGGGACUCAGGAGAGACUGCCGGUGACAAACCGGAGGAAGGUGGGGAUGACGUCAAAUCAGCACGGCCCUUACGUCCGGGGCUACACACGUGUUACAAUGGGGGGUACAGAGGGCCGCUACCACGCGAGUGGAUGCCAAUCCCUAAAACCCCUCUCAGUUCGGACUGGAGUCUGCAACCCGACUCCACGAAGCUGGAUUCGCUAGUAAUCGCGCAUCAGCCACGGCGCGGUGAAUACGUUCCCGGGCCUUGUACACACCGCCCGUCAAGCCAUGGGAGCCGGGGGUACCUGAAGUGCGUAACCGCGAGGAUCGCCCUAGGGUAAAACUGGUGACUGGGGCU
rnacentral:rRNA from 1 species